CACGCGUACCCAUCCCGAACACGACCGUUAAGCCCUCCAGCGCCGAUGGUACUUGGACCGAAGGGUCCUGGGAGAGUAGGACGUUGCCAAGC
rnacentral:rRNA from 5 species